CUUUGGGGUGUGACUGCGUACCUUUUGUAUAAUGGGUCAGCGACUUAUAUUCUGUAGCAAGGUUAACCGCAUAGGGGAGCCGGAGGGAAACCGAGUCUUAAUUGGGCGUUAAGUUGCAGGGUAUAGACCCGAAACCCGGUGAUCUAGCCAUGGGCAGGUUGAAGGUUGGGUAACACUAACUGGAGGACCGAACCGACUAAUGUUGAAAAAUUAGCGGAUGACCUGUGGCUGGGGGUGAAAGGCCAAUCAAACCGGGAGAUAGCUGGUUCUCCCCGAAAGCUAUUUAGGUAGCGCCUCGUGAAUUCAUCUCCGGGGGUAGAGCACUGUUUCGGCUAGGGGGCCAUCCCGGCUUACCAACCCGAUGCAAACUGCGAAUACCGGAGAAUGUUAUCACGGGAGACACACGGCGGGUGCUAACGUCCGUCGUGAAGAGGGAAACAACCCAGACCGCCAGCUAAGGUCCCAAAGUCAUGGUUAAGUGGGAAACGAUGUGGGAAGGCCCAGACAGCCAGGAUGUUGGCUUAGAAGCAGCCAUCAUUUAAAGAAAGCGUAAUAGCUCACUGGUCGAGUCGGCCUGCGCGGAAGAUGUAACGGGGCUAAACCAUG
rnacentral:rRNA from 2 species